AGCUGUGCUGUCUCACAGUUUAAUGGGAACACUGGCUAUGAUCCUUGGUUACUAGAAGAAACAAUUAACCAGCUCAGACAUAAUUCCCAAACAAGAAAAACAGUAAACCUUGGAAUACCUACAUUUUCCCCUAUUCUCCCAUUCUAAAGAAACCAGGGGAUCUGCUUUUGGGAGAGUUCAUCUCUCCUCUCUGUGCCUGGAGAAGAUUCUGUUUGAACCAAACAAAAGAGAUUGCUUUGUUCAGUUUGAAAUUCUUUAGCUGCAUUUCAUUGGCCAACGACCAAAGCCCCCCUGCCUCAGGUGCAGUGCUUUAAGGUUAACAUAAACCCUUUCAUCACUCUCCAGCACAUCUUUACAGCUGGCCAUACCUGCUACAUGCACCAGGAGAUCACCUGCUUGGAGCCACAUCAAGGUGCUGGACCUCAUCAGCUUCUGGGGAAAGGAUGCAGUCCAGUCCCAGUUGCUCUCCAGCCAUAGGAAUUAUACCUAUAAGCACAUCUCAAGGUGCAUGACUGAAAGGGACCAUGACCAGGACACACUGCAGUGCAUGGUCAAAGUAAAGGAACCAUGAAAUGCCUACCACAAUGUGUGAGAAGCAAACUGCCGUUCCUGUGCUGCACCCAUGACCUGCAGGUUCUUCAAAGGAGCUGAGUGAUAUACUUGGACGCAACCCCACCUCUGCUCCAAAGACUAAGCAUAGCUGCCAAUCCAUAAAAGUUAAGGACCAACCUAGAUAGCCUAUCAGUUAUUGUUACAACUAGAAAAGGGAGACUUUUUGGAUGUCGCAAGCUCAGGAGGGGGCUUAGUUCUGGAAUUCAAUUCCUGUUUGCCAGAGCACAAAUAUGGCUCUCUUCAGGGGAGAAUGUGAAGAGAUAGAAGGCCAGGACAUGCCCAGCUAAUCUUUUGGGCCCAUUAGUCAGCAUGUUGAGUAGCUUGGUUUAAAAUCAAAUAAAUACGACUAGAGAAAGUUUAAGGAACUAUGAAAAAAAGCUUUCAAAACCUGUUGUAAAUAAAUCAGAGAUCCAUAUUCCUGUGGUUUUGAAGAAUACUAUAUAUUCUUGUAUUCUUUUGUUUUAGAGGGGGGGGUUGGGCAUUUGCUCAAAGUCUAUUUCCAGGCAGUACGGUUUAGAUCUUCAGAAACUUCCACAGUUAAGGGAACUUUAAAUUAUUUCAGCAUAUCUGCUAUUGUAGGAUGGGAUGAAUUUAAAACAUUCACUCUGAAAGAAAAAGGUCACAUCUAGCAUGUCUUUAAUGAAAUAUUUUACAAUUGAUCUCUUCAAUGCUUACAAAGGGAAGUUUUUUGUAAAUUCAUUGUCUAUAAACUCAGUCUAGCCAAGUCAUGGUUCCACUAUUGCUAUCAGUAAUCUAGCUACGCUAGUAUAAUCUGUACUCUUGCUAGCGCAGUGACAGCAAGUGGAUAUUGCUAGGCAUCAACUUCUGCAUUGAGCACCAGGCAGUCUCAAGUCACUCAGAUUGCUCUCUGGUCUUGUAAAUAGGCAGAGUGGAAAAGGAGUAGAAUGCAUUCAUGUAGACUACGGAUGAAGAACCUUUUUUGGGGUUGGGGGUCACUAAUGCACAGUAAAAUCAGUCAGGUGAGAAGCAAAAAACAAGCCCUGAACUGAGAAGCAUGUAGACACAGGUGCACAUGCAAACCAAAAACAACCCCCACAAUGCCCCCUAGAGGUGACAUCCUUUUUUAUUUAGUAUUUUAGUGUGAUGUCUGAGACUGCUUUUCCUUGCUGAGCUUCAUUAUGUCUUCUGGACUGAAGAUGUUGCUAUUUUACCUAGCAGUGAUGCUUUGCAAUUCUGUAAAUUCAUGUUAAAAGGCUUCUAUAUUGAACUGUCUGAAAAAAAUGUUUAAUUCCAGUUCUUUUGAUCUUAGGUCUUGAAAUAGGACACAAUUUGUGAAAUAAAUGUGCAUAAUCCCUGGCAUAAUCUACUAUAGACACAAGUUUUUGUUCCUGAAAUGUUGGGAAAUGCACCAUAUUGCCCUUUCCAAGUUGCAUUUGCCACAUCUUUAAUUUAGCUUUGAAUGAUUUGACGUUUGAAAGAAGGGAAGCAAGAAGCUAGUUAUGCCCUUGCAAUUUGACACUGACCUCUGACAAAUGCUGAGUAAUGUCAACCAUGAAUGCAAGGUCAUAUAGCCAGUUGAGGUCACUCAGCCCACCCACGAAUUUUCUCUUAAUCUCCAUGAAAAGUUUCACUUCAUUCCUCAAUUCAUAAAACCGCGUCAGCAUCCUCCCCCAGUUCAGCCAUCACAUUUCACAAUAAUAAACUAAAUCACCAUACUCUGCUUUGAGAUCUUUCAACAGCUCUUUAAACUGGUGGCUGUUCAGUAUUUUAUGUUUGAUAAAGUUAAUGCUUGAUAUUGCUACUGAUAUUUUGUUGUUCAAUUGCAUGGAUUGUGUGCACAGAUUCUCUUGAAUGAUGCAAUGACACAAUCAACUUACUUGGAUCAAAACCAACACAAUCCAUUCUUUCUUGACUAAGGCAACUAAUCCCUUCUGAGAUCCAACCGUCGUUAGAGCACCACUGGUAGUGGUGUCUGGGUAGAGCUGGACACUGCAGGAAGUCACUGCCCCACAGCUCCCUGUUGCAGCUGCCCUAUGUAGGGAAGGGACUCCGUCCAUUUCCCCGAUGCAACCUGGAGCAGCUCUGGGCAGUAAGUGCUGAAGUGGAGAAGGAGCUCUGGUGCUUUCUGUGAUGCUGCCUGGAGCAGCUGCCCCCUCCAGCCACCUCACCUGCAUGCCUCCUCACCUGUAUUCAAGGAGCCAGAAGUGUCCAGGUAGGUGCUGCAGGUGAAUUUAGCUUGAGAUUGGCAGCCACUGGACUGCCUACAGCAGUACUGCAUGACUGUUGGACCCCCCUGUGAGCCCAACUUAGUUGUCCAGAGGACCAAAUGUAAUCCUUAGGCUAUAGGGUCCCCACCCCUGAGGAGACCCUCAGAGGAGACAUCCUCACAGAGUUGUUUCACUGCAUUCCAGUGUAGUCUGCUGCUAAGCAGGAGUCACUUGUCACUGGCAGUGCACAGUAGAGCUCUCAUUAAUGCAGGAUAGGAUUCCUCUCCACCAGGGGUCAGCAACCAUUGCGAAGUUGUGUGCCAAGUUUUAACCCUCCUGCCCUGGGCCGUGCUACUCUCUGGGGGGGAAGAGGGGGAGAGGCAGAGAGGAGGGAGAAGGGGCUUUCUCCCUCGCACACCCCUUCCACAAACAAACAGUUGCUAAUGGAAAGAGAACGAUUACUUACCUGUAUUUGUUGUUCUUCGAGAUGUGUUGUUCAUGUCCAUUCGAAUGAGGUGUGUGCACGCCACGUGCACGGUUCUCCGGAGCGUUUUUCCCCUGGUGGUACCCAUAGCACUGACAGGUCACUCCCUGGAGUGGCGCCGCUAUAGCGGAGCAUAAGUACCCCUGCCAGUGCUCCGCCUCCUCAGUUCCUUCUUGCCGGACACUGAAGGGGAAGUAGGGGGGAAUUGA